GUUUUCCUUGGCCUGGUUUGCACCUGACUUUCCUCCCUCUGUGACACUUGACGACAACUCAGUUUUCAAAUGAGCUUCGCCUUUCUGAUGGGUUCUCCUCCCCUGAGAACUCAGGACAAAUUGUUAGCACGAACGCUUAUGGUAGCAAUCAAGACAAAUGUCAAGCCAUACCUGACCAGUGUCCUGAGGGGUUCUAUGUGUGAAAUGGCACUUUUAAGGAUGAAAUGGUUUAUUUCUUGCAACUCAACUCACUCACCUGUCCCUUAAAGACUGGGUUUUCUGUGGCUUCCUGAACAUUUUUUUUAAAGCCUUUCUACAUCUGCACAAAACAAGCAGUUGUUGUCAUCACCAUUCUUGUCCUGUGAAACCUUAACCAGGUGAUAGAGUUACAAAUUCCGUUUCUCUAAGCAGAGCCCCGACUCUUAGCCCCACACUGGGAAGGUGCAUCCAGUGGCCCACCACAAGCCUUGCUUUGGAGACUCAUAAAUUUAGACAUUAGCAUCUAUAUCUUUUAGACUGGGAAAAAAAAAUCAACCCCUAAAGUUAUUCACAACAAUCAAGCAAAAAUAAAGAAAAGGAACACGCUAGAAUUUCCCCCUCUGCCUUUGAAAACCAGUCGAUCGCAACGGACCAGUUUUUGUUUUAGUUUGUUUUCUUAGUUAUUGCGUAAGGCGGUGCAGUGUGGAGUACAGGAAAUAAUUUAGCCCACGCACCUGCACAGAAAACCCACAUCAACGAGUUUGCUUCGGCAGUCAGGCUGGGGAACCAAAGGCUAAGCCUGAAAGCAAACGUGAAAUCAAAUACGAAAAUUGCACAGCAGCUCCGCAGGAGUCAGCUAUCCAGAGGCCCCGCUGAAACCCCAUCUGUCAGGUAGAGUUUCAGACACAUUUUGAUGUUUUGGUCACCUGACCCAAGCUCUUCAGCCCAAUUGGCCCCCAAAUUCCCAGGGCAGGUAAUGAGGUAACCAGAGUGUGUGGGAACGAGAGGAUAGGGUAGAUACAACUUUCCCCGUCAUUCAUUAGACUGUCUACUAAUUCUGCUUGUUUCUUGGUUUGACGUCUGCUUAUCAGGAAAUUUGAACUUCUUAAAGAAACGGAAUGACUUUAUCUACACCUGGGACAGAAUUUAGUAACAUUUGUGUAAAAUUAAACCAUUGUAACAGAAAAUAGUAAUUUGGGAGAUUAAAUUAUUUAUAUGUUAAUUUAACAGCCAAUAUGUUUUAAUGCGCUUGUGUUUUGUUUUUCUCUGCUCUCUUAUUAAAUAUCAUUUGGAAUAUCACACUGUCAUCCUUGGCUUGCCUGCAAAGUCAUAGAAAUAAAUGUGCUGACUUAUCCAUGAUUUUUCUAAUCCUUUUCUUAGUCUCACAGGGAUUUUGUCCAAACAAAAUAAAUGUUUAUCCACAUGGCAUUUGUCACUAUGGGAACUUUUGGCCUUUAAAAUGCUGACUCUAGUAGCAGAGACAACCAACAGGAGAAAUUCGCCUUGUUUGACAAGAAUAAACAGAACCAGUUUGGCUAGGAACCCUUGGUAUAGCCUAGCCUAAUGGGGGAGGGACAGAGAUCAGGAAACCAAGCAGAUGUGGGUUUUCUGGCAAAACCGGGAGCUCAAACGUCACAGAAAAACUUGAAGGGAUUUUUCCUUAAUUUCAUGUAACUAAUUCCAAACAUGAACAACAUUAGCUGAUGUGUUAGCAUAUAUGUAUAACAACUUUUGCAACUAAUAAUGCCACUCUUUAUACUCUGACAGCUUGACAACUGACAGGAAAUAGACUGGUCUGCAAACUUCAGAAUAAACUCGGAGUGACUUUUUUUUCCUUUUAAGUCAAUUGAUCCAAUGCUGUGACACUCCCUGAGUCGUUGUAAGUAUUUCCCUCUCUCAAAAUAUAUCAUAUGAUUAUCAAACACAUCUUUGUGGGGGAUAGGGGUGGCUCAUAACAGCUUUAUCAUUUCCCUCACCAAAGUGUGUAUAGUGUCAAGUACACGCAAAAGAUAUGGGGCCGGAGAUCUCCUUAACCAACUGGGGACUGUAUCAAACAUGAAGAGGAAUCAGUGUGAGAACUGGUGUGAGCUCUCUGUAGAAAGCACACAGCCACGCUCAGAUAUGUAAUUCGGGAAGCAGGCAUGGAAGAGGUGAGGCAGUCCUGGGGAUAGUGUUCUAUAGUGACUGAUGAGAAAUAAAUCCACCUUGGAUAUAUUAUUUCAUGAUCCCAGUAUAUAUAUACACACACACACAAACACACAUCUGACUGCUGCUCCCCUUAAGACAUGGGUCCAGUUCAAGAUAAGCAAUUUCAAUAUGAAAAGCUUCUAACACACAGAUAAAAAUGAUUUAGGUCUUCCAGGUGUGCCAUAAUUCUUGGCAGGGAAAAAAAAAAGUUCACUCUGGGUGUAUAAUCUCUUAAAGAAAUUUGUUGUCAGAGCUGGAUGAAACCAUCACGUUAGAAAAAUAGAAGCUCAGCUACAAACAAAGUGUAAGGUGCGAUGGUGGAACUCUCUGCUGCAUGAACUCCCUUUUGCUUAUGUAAACACUGCUGGAUUUGGGCAUCAUUUCAAAAGAGGUACAGCUGAGCAUGUAGGAGCCUAUAGAAACAGGACAGACUCUUGGUGGGAGGUUUGGGGUGGGGUUCUAGUGCCAAGCCAGAGUCUAAUGCCCAGACAAAGGAAGAAAGAAGAUGCAUUUUAUAGCUUACAGAUUUUUUUCUUUCUGUCUUUUUUUCCCCCCUCUCUCUCUCUUAAGGCAGCAGACCAACCAAAUAACUCAAUCAACAACAACAAAACUGAGAUGCGCCGUGCAGUGGGAAAUGUUAUAACAACUUGAAUAACGAAGAGGCCCCCGAAGGAGUGGGAAUGUAGGCGAAGGGGGAAAGGCCCAUAUUAUGGAAUAUUUAAACACUGUAAUUCGAUGCACAUUUAUUAAUUGGCUGCUUUUUAAGAGAUCCUUAUUUAUGGCAGGUCUAGGAACAAUAUAGCAAGCACAGAGCUCUCAUGGCUUGUUGUGCUUUCCAUAUGUUCAGAUGAAAUGAACAUCACAUCUAAUAGUGGUGCUCCCUGCUCUUGAAGUGUCUGCCAGUACCACAUCCCUUGGGAGCUGUUACCACCAAAUUAAUAUCCUGUGGGUCACUUAACUAAAAAAACCACAUUAUAGAGGCAUUAUGUGAUUAGAUGUACUGCUUUUACAAGGCGGUUGGGGUGUGUACUUUGCCUCUGCUCCAGAAAGGAUGGCAGGGCUCAUAUACAUAGACCUCCAAGCCAGAGUCUCUGCGAGGCCAAUGACAGUACAGACACAUGUCCAAAAAUGUGACCUCCAUUCGCUGUCAGAAGCUGCUUUUACAAGAUCAACCAGGGUGACUUGCUUAGUAAGAAACAGACCUGAACAGCUGGCUGCUCUGAA
rnacentral:lncRNA from 1 species